rnacentral:rRNA from 1 species
AGCGCAUACGGUGGAUGCCUUGGCAGUCAGAGGCGAUGAAAGACGUGGUAGCCUGCGAAAAGCUUCGGGGAGUCGGCAAACAGACUUUGAUCCGGAGAUCUCUGAAUGGGGGAACCCACCUAGGAUAACCUAGGUAUCUUGUACUGAAUCCAUAGGUGCAAGAGGCGAACCAGGGGAACUGAAACAUCUAAGUACCCUGAGGAAAAGAAAUCAACCGAGAUUCCCUUAGUAGUGGCGAGCGAACGGGGAUUAGCCCUUAAGCUUCAUUGAUUUUAGCGGAACGCUCUGGAAAGUGCGGCCAUAGUGGGUGAUAGCCCCGUACGCGAAAGGAUCUUUGAAGUGAAAUCGAGUAGGACGGAGCACGAGAAACUUUGUCUGAACAUGGGGGGACCAUCCUCCAAGGCUAAAUACUACUGACUGACCGAUAGUGAACCAGUACCGUGAGGGAAAGGCGAAAAGAACCCCGGAGAGGGGAGUGAAAUAGAACCUGAAACCGUAUGCGUACAAGCAGUGGGAGCCUACUUGUUAGGUGACUGCGUACCUUUUGUAUAAUGGGUCAGCGACUUAUAUUCAGUGGCAAGCUUAACCGUAUAGGGUAGGCGUAGCGAAAGCGAGUCUUAAUAGGGCGUUUAGUCGCUGGGUAUAGACCCGAAACCGGGCGAUCUAUCCAUGAGCAGGUUGAAGGUUAGGUAACACUGACUGGAGGACCGAACCCACUCCCGUUGAAAAGGUAGGGGAUGACUUGUGGAUCGGAGUGAAAGGCUAAUCAAGCUCGGAGAUAGCUGGUUCUCCUCGAAAGCUAUUUAGGUAGCGCCUCAUGUAUCACUCUGGGGGGUAGAGCACUGUUUCGGCUAGGGGGUCAUCCCGACUUACCAAACCGAUGCAAACUCCGAAUACCCAGAAGUGCCGAGCAUGGGAGACACACGGCGGGUGCUAACGUCCGUCGUGAAAAGGGAAACAACCCAGACCGCCAGCUAAGGUCCCAAAGUUGUGGUUAAGUGGUAAACGAUGUGGGAAGGCUUAGACAGCUAGGAGGUUGGCUUAGAAGCAGCCACCCUUUAAAGAAAGCGUAAUAGCUCACUAGUCGAGUCGGCCUGCGCGGAAGAUGUAACGGGGCUCAAACCACACACCGAAGCUGCGGGUGUCACGCAAGUGACGCGGUAGAGGAGCGUUCUGUAAGCCUGUGAAGGUGAGUUGAGAAGCUUGCUGGAGGUAUCAGAAGUGCGAAUGCUGACAUGAGUAACGACAAUGGGUGUGAAAAACACCCACGCCGAAAGACCAAGGGUUCCUGCGCAACGUUAAUCGACGCAGGGUUAGUCGGUUCCUAAGGCGAGGCUGAAAAGCGUAGUCGAUGGGAAACAGGUUAAUAUUCCUGUACUUCUGGUUACUGCGAUGGAGGGACGGAGAAGGCUAGGCCAGCUUGGCGUUGGUUGUCCAAGUUUAAGGUGGUAGGCUGAAAUCUUAGGUAAAUCCGGGGUUUCAAGGCCGAGAGCUGAUGACGAGUCGUCUUUUAGAUGACGAAGUGGUUGAUGCCAUGCUUCCAAGAAAAGCUUCUAAGCUUCAGGUAACCAGGAACCGUACCCCAAACCGACACAGGUGGUCGGGUAGAGAAUACCAAGGCGCUUGAGAGAACUCGGGUGAAGGAACUAGGCAAAAUGGCACCGUAACUUCGGGAGAAGGUGCGCCGGCUAGGGUGAAGGAUUUACUCCGUAAGCCCUGGCUGGUCGAAGAUACCAGGCCGCUGCGACUGUUUAUUAAAAACACAGCACUCUGCAAACACGAAAGUGGACGUAUAGGGUGUGACGCCUGCCCGGUGCCGGAAGGUUAAUUGAUGGGGUUAGCGCAAGCGAAGCUCUUGAUCGAAGCCCCGGUAAACGGCGGCCGUAACUAUAACGGUCCUAAGGUAGCGAAAUUCCUUGUCGGGUAAGUUCCGACCUGCACGAAUGGCGUAACGAUGGCGGCGCUGUCUCCACCCGAGACUCAGUGAAAUUGAAAUCGCUGUGAAGAUGCAGUGUAUCCGCGGCUAGACGGAAAGACCCCGUGAACCUUUACUGUAGCUUUGCACUGGACUUUGAGCCUGCUUGUGUAGGAUAGGUGGGAGGCUUUGAAGCGUGGACGCCAGUUCGCGUGGAGCCAUCCUUGAAAUACCACCCUGGCAUGCUUGAGGUUCUAACUCUGGUCCGUGAUCCGGAUCGAGGACAGUGUAUGGUGGGCAGUUUGACUGGGGCGGUCUCCUCCUAAAGAGUAACGGAGGAG